rnacentral:lncRNA from 1 species
UCUCCAUCUAAGGAGUGUGAGUCCACCAAAUUAUAAUCUCAAUUGAUCUUCAUAAGAGCCCUGUAGGAUAGAUAUUACUAGGAUUAUCAGCUCCAUUUUAUAGCAUCAGGUCCAAAUUCUACCCAGGACCAAAAGAGGAUUCAAGGAAGCAAUGCAAUGUCAAGUCAACCUGUAAUUUCCAGAUAACAAUCUACCAGAAUACAGCCUACCCAAAAUCUCUGCACAGUGUCUCGCUCUCCAUUCCAUAAUGAGGAAAAAGGAUCUUCUCCAUAGUCACAGAACUUCCAGGUGUCAGAAGCAGACUUGAAGACUUGGUCUUCCUGACUCCCAAUUAAGAGAUGGGUAUUGGAUGAAUGAAAUCUUACUACUUUGGAACAAGAAGAUGGAUUGUCAAUCACUUAUUUGAAAUCUCAAAUAUUUAAUUGGUGUGCCUAAUAUUCUUAAGUAUCUAAGUACCUUAAGUAUUUAAGUCUAAAGGAUCUAUAAGAACCUAAUGGUUCAAGGCAAGGGGCUACAGUAAGUUGGGAAGAAGGAAGACACACAGGAA